AGUGCGUCUUGUUAUUGUUAUUAAUUGGCAAUGGAAAUCUAAGGAACUAACGUAUAAAUCGUUUUACUGCAUGUUAGAACUUGAGCGGAUAUUGUUAAGAGUGCUCUUAAGGCAAUCUAGGAAAUGUACGUAGUUCAGUAGUGUACAUCUCUUUGUUUGAAAUGAGUAAAUGUGAUUGACUAAGAUGUUAUUCAGAGGGGACACUUUUGUUAAAUGUAAUACAUGUACCUGUUUAUGUUGAUAGUGUGUAUGGUUUAUUAGUUCAUUUUUAUUUUUUUUAGAUAUUUUAACAAACUUCAUUUUGAAAAAGUGUUCAUUUACAAUGUGUGCAUGGUUCACAUUGAAAUUAUCAGCAAUGAAAGCGAAACUACAAAUAAAGUGAACAAAGAUUACACAGUGCGUUUGAACGUGUACAUGUAAAUGAAUUGUGAACUCAUAUUAAACUAGAAAAAAAGAUAAGGUUUUGGCCUGGGGCUUAUCAUUAUUCUCGGAAAUAGACGAAGUAACCGGAUAUGGUAUUUCACUGCGCAGAUCGAACGCGCAAAUCGAGCUCGAAAAGUUCUACGUGAGACAACGAACACAAUAUACACGUAACGUGUAACACCCUUGACAUGGGUAAUAUAAUAGCAAAGGACCCUGAUUUCUGGUGUUCUUCCGAAGAUCCGGGUCCAGAAAGACAUAAUGAAGAUUGGAUGAUGAGAGUAUCAGAUUCUAAGUUUCUUUCGGAGCUGUCCAUUCCUGGCACACACGCUACUAUGAGUUAUGCUUAUGAUGGAAAAGUCACUGGACUAUUUGUUAGCUGUCAGAGUUGGUUAUUAUGCAUUCAGCUGAAUAUGGGAAUACGAUUUCUUGACAUUCGGUGUCAGGCAACCAGAGAUGAUAUGUUACUCAAUCACGGCGGCUAUUACCUAUGUAAGCUGACAGAUACAUUAACCGGCUGUGUAAACUUUCUUCAAACGCACCCAAGUGAAUGCGUUAUCUUACGGAUUGCACAAGAAAACAGUAAUCUUGAGGGACUUGAUUUUAGGGAUGCGCUGAAACCCUUCUUGGAGAAAUUUUCUAGUCAUAUCUUUAAAAAAAGAUCAAUGCCUACCCUUGGCGAAGCAAGAGGGAAGAUGAUUAUUCUGGCAGACUAUGAUAUCGAAGAUAACGAUGAUAUGAUGAAGUAUGGAAAUAUGACACAUGGAAAAAUUAUCAUCUGUGAAAACCAUUAACCAGGAUCAUUCUCACAAAAGUUAGAUGGCAUCAAAGCUAACAUAAAAAAGGCAUCCUCAGCUCAAAGGGAUAAGAAAGAAAUGUACAUAACGUUCACGAGCUAUAAUCAUUGGUUAGUAGAUUGUCCGCAAGAGACAGCAAGGCGUUCAAAUCCUACAUGGCAUUGUUUAGUCAGAUAUCGCAUUGGUUGCCUUGGUAUUGUUGUCAUGGACUUUCCGGGAUAUAAGGUAAUCCGAGACAUUAUCGAUCACAACUGGGAUCGCCCUCGCGAGAUUGAAAAUCCUACAGCGCAUCGUUUAGUGAAAUAUCGAGGCAUUAUUGAUGACAACUUUAUUUGUCAUAUCGAGAUUACACCUUCUACAAAUCCAACAAAUGCUUUGGCAUUUUUGUCGUCGGACUACCCAGGAUUUAAAGAAAUUCGAGACAGUAUCGAUCAAAUUUGAAGGCAUGCCCAUCUCUGACACAAACCAAAAUUGCUCCAAUAAAAAUUUCAAUUUGCCUCAAACACCAUCUACAUGGUUAUGAGUAAAGGUAAACUAUGUCCUCUAGGACAUGUGAACUAGUUUUCUAUUAUGACAUUAAGAUCAACUUACUGAUUGGCAUGUAUGAUACGUUUGUAUGAUUAUCUAUAUCUGAUGUAAUAUAAUAAAGUGUUUUGCAUGUUGCAUUUGGAAUUGCCAUUUUGUUCACAUGAUUUCAUGUGAAAAGAUAUUUUUAAAUGAUUACAUAGAUUACAUUUAGAUAAACUAAUUUUUAUUUUUAUUUUGUAUAUUCAGGCUUUAACAAAAGUCCUUCUUGGAAAAAAAUAAAUUAAAAACUCGAUGUCAACUGAUAUUGCUUUAUUGAUGUUAUAUUAUAAGGCCUUAAUAGUUCAAUGCCGUUUUAAUAUUUUGUCCAUUUAUCAUGGUCCAAUUAAUUAAUUAGGUUUUUUCGCAUGCGAUGGUACUUAUUAUUCAUAAGUUACAAACAUGUUCAAAUUUCAUUAUAUGUAUCUUUUUUUAAUGCAUGUCUUUUCAUGAAGUCAAACUUCAAAACUCUACAGUUGUCAUCGAAUUUCUGAUAAUUUAUCAUUUAACUUAAUUAAUAAGAAAAAUACAAUAAAACAUCGUUUUCUUGGACAUUUGUCACUACUAAGGAUAAUCUACUAUAAGUUUACAUAAAAAGAUGUAUUAAUAUUUCCGUAUCAUGUUUGUCGAUGUUACAAUAAGAUUGACCCUUUUGUUUCAAUUUGAACUUAAUAUAUUUUAUAUUUGUGUUCUGAAAAUUUUGUAAAAAUUGUGUUAUAAGUUUUAAGUUAAGUUCCAUUAUUCCAAAUUGUUUUAAUCUUUAUUAACAGUUUAACAUUUAACCUUUGUUAACAUACUCAAAUAUCAUUUAAGCAACUUAAUUAAAGCAAUAACAGUUGAUGACCAAGCCCAAUUAAAUUAUGCAUUUUCUUUGUUUAAAUUUGUUCAAAGAAACAUUAAAAUUCCGAAAACAAUAAUACAAAGUCAUGUAUACAUCUAUGCUGAAAUGUAGCGGAAUGUAAGUGGAGAUAAAGUUUUUUUACUUUGAUAACUUGAAUCGUGUAUUGUAUAAUGUUGUACACUGAAUUUGUUUCUUAUUUUAACAUGAAUUAUACUCUGCAUACUGAUUUUAAAGUAUAUUUUAACAUGUUUAAAUAUUGACAUUAUUGUAUCUUAAAUUGAACAUGCAAGUUA